rnacentral:rRNA from 1 species
ACAUCCACGGAAGUUUUCAGAGAGUGAGAAUGUGCCGUUCGGGAACCGUGAGACAGGUGCUGCAUGGCUGUCGUCAGCUCGUGUUGUGAAAUGUUGGGUUAAGUCCCGCAACGAGCGCAACCCUUAUCCUUUGUUGCCAGCGGUCCGGCCGGGAACUCAAAGGAGACUGCCAGUGAUAAACUGGAGGAAGGUGGGGAUGACGUCAAGUCAUCAUGGCCCUUACGACCAGGGCUACACACGUGCUACAAUGGCGCAUACAAAGAGAAGCGACCUCGCGAGAGCAAGCGGACCUCAUAAAGUGCGUCGUAGUCCGGAUUGGAGUCUGCAACUCGACUCCAUGAAGUCGGAAUCGCUAGUAAUCGUGGAUCAGAAUGCCACGGUGAAUACGUUCCCGGGCCUUGUACACACCGCCCGUCACACCAUGGGAGUGGGUUGCAAAAGAAGUAGGUAGCUUAACCUUCGGGAGGGCGCUUACCACUUUGUGAUUCAUGACUGGGGUGAAGUCGUAACAAGGUAAGCGUAGAUGA